rnacentral:rRNA from 1 species
GUGUCAGCCGCCGCGGUAAUACGUAGGGUGCGAGCGUUAAUCGGAAUUACUGGGCGUAAAGCGUGCGCAGGCGGUUGUGCAAGACAGAUGUGAAAGCCCCGGGCUCAACCUGGGAAUGGCAUUUGUGACUGCACGGCUAGAGUGUGUCAGAGGGGGGUAGAAUUCCACGUGUAGCAGUGAAAUGCGUAGAUAUGUGGAGGAAUACCGAUGGCGAAGGCAGCCCCCUGGGAUAACACUGACGCUCAUGCACGAAAGCGUGGGGAGCAAACAGGAUUAGAUACCCUGGUAGUCCACGCCCUAAACGAUGUCAACUAGUUGUCGGGGAUUAAUUUCCUUGGUAACGCAGCUAACGCGUGAAGUUGACCGCCUGGGGAGUACGGUCGCAAGAUUAAA